GUCUACAGCCAUGCCACCCUUAACAAACCCGAUCCUGUCUGAUAAUGGAAGCUAAGCAGGGUCGGGCCUUGUUAGUACUUGGAUGGGAGACCACCUAGGAAGACCAGGUGCUCUAGGCG
rnacentral:rRNA from 1 species